AUGCCUAAGCCGGCGAGACCCUUCCUUCCCCUGCUCAUCGUCCUCCUGCUGAUCACCAGCCGCGUCGACAAUGCCGGCGCCGACGCCACGGCGUGGCAGCUGGAGCCUGCACAGCCGACGUCGCCGGCCGCGCUGGCCGGCGAGUGGCGGCUCCUCCACGCCAAUAUCGGCGUCUCGGCCAUGCACAUGCAGCUCCUCCCGGAGGACUUCGUCCUCAUGUUCGACCGCACCGACUCCGGCCCCUCCAACAUCUCCCUCCUCGACCCGGCUUCGUGCGCCGCCGCGGCCGCGCCGAACGCCACCGCCGCGCCCGUCGACUGCUCCGCGCACUCGGUGCUCCUCGACCUCCGGUCCAACGCGCUGCAUCCGUACCCGCUCGCCACCAACCCGUGGUGCUCGUCCGCCGCUCUGCUGCCCAACGGCACGCUCCUCCAGACCGGCGGCUUCUCCAACGGCGACCGCAUCGCGCGCCUCUUCUCCCCGACGUCCGGCUGGGUCGACCUCCCGGAUUUCCUGGCCGCGCGGCGGUGGUACGCCACUGACAUCCUCCUCGCCGACGGGCGGGUGCUCAUCCUCGGCGGCCGGCGGCAGUACAACUUCGAGUUCUUCCCGCACGACGGCGUCAACGGCCCGCCGCCGCUGACCUUCUUCCCGUUCUUGGACGAGACCACGGAGGUGGACGCCGAGAACAACCUCUACCCCUUCCUCCACCUCCUCCCCGACGGCACCGUCUUCGUCUUCGCCAACGACCGCGCCGUCGUCUUCGACCCCUACAACCGCACCCCGCUACGCCGGCUUCCCACGAUCCCUGGCGGAGUGCCGCGGAACUACCCGUCCUCUGGCUCGUCCGUCCUCCUCCCGCUGCGCCCAGAGUACCCGACGCACGCCGAGGUGCUCGUCUGCGGAGGCGCGCCGCGUGGGGCGUACCAGCUCGCGCUCCGGAACGGCACGUUCGUGCCGACGGAGCGGACAUGCGGCCGCAUCGCGCCGACGGACGCGAACCCGGUGUGGGCCAUGGAGGAGAUGCCUCUGCCACGGGUGAUGGGUGACAUGGUGCUGCUCCCAACCGGCGACGUGCUCAUCGUGAACGGUGCGGCGGCGGGGACGGCAGGAUGGGAGCUCGGUCGGGAGCCGGUAAUGUAUCCGGUGUUGUAUCGGCCGGACACGCAGAACGGCGCGCGGUUCGAGGUUCUGACCGCCUCCACCGUCCCGAGGAUGUACCACUCGUCGGCGACGCUGGACACCUACGGCCGGGUGCUCGUCGGCGGGAGCAACCCGCACAUCGGAUACGUGUUCGCCAACGUGACGUACCCGACGGAGCUGAGCCUGGAGGCGUUCCUGCCGCCAUACCUCGACACGCGGCUCGACAGCCUGCGGCCGCGGGUGUUGGGGGCGCCAGCGGAGGUCGGGUACGGGGAAGCGGCGUCGGUGCGGUUCGAGGUGCCCGGCGGCGCGCUGGCGGGAGGGGGACCCGAAGAUCAGGUGGUGCGCGUGGUGGCUGUGGCGCCGGCGUUCGCGACACACUCGUUCGGGAUGAACCAGCGGGUGGUGGACCUGGCCGUGACGAGGGUGGCGCAGCUAGACGUCGGGGUGUACGAGGCGGAGGUGGCCACGCCGCCAUCGCCCGGUGUGGCGCCGCCGGGGUACUACCUGUGGUUCCUGGUGCACGCCGGCGUGCCCAGCAGCGCGGCGUGGGUGCGCACGCGGCCGCUCGGUGCAGCGCCAUGA
rnacentral:rRNA from 1 species